AAUGCAUUAUGUAUGCAUGUAUGUCUUCAAAAUAGCGCUUACUGAAUAUUAGGGUAACAUUUUCCUCCAUGUUAGCAAAUCGAAGAAAAGCAGAGGCCCGGAAGACUGGAGGGGGUCCACCACCUGCAGCCCUCACAGAGGCUGAGGAGAUGGCCCUCAGCCAACAGAGUAUGCGUCCUGUGGCUUAGGGCAUCCCUGGGGGGUGCUCCUCUGAUCCCCCCACCCCCCAGGAUAGAAGUGCCUUUAUAAGAGUUACUGAUGGCGUCAUCGCCCUACUUGAACCAGAUGCCCUCACCAACCUCCAUGCAAUUGAAGAUGAUGGAGAAACAUUGUCUGCGGCAUUCGAAAGGGAAGAGGAAAGGCCUAUUGAGGUUAACAUCUUUUAAAAAUAACGUCUUAAAGUUGAUGAUAGCGUUGUACAAUUUAAAACUGACAUCUUCUUUCUCUCUAACAGGAUGAAGUCAAAUCCAAUGAGAGGCCAUCCACUUCUAAAUCACAGCUUACCUCUCUAAGAUUCUCCCUGGAAUUAAAAUGUAACGCUCUACUUGGCACUGUGAAAUCCAAUGUCAUUUUUUGCAUUCCUAUAGCUUCCAGUCAAAGAGCUACAUAAAAUCUAUCUAGAAAAGCAAAUACACAAAGCAGACUUGGAAAGGGACCACCUUAGGCAAAAGAUGCAAAGGAUGCUUUGGAGAUCCAAAUUUUGGAACAUAUUGUUAAAGGUGGGUGAAGUGCAAACUGGGAUACUGUUCCCUGCUCUAAAAACAUACCCAAUAUGAAUGACUUUUCUUUUUUUGUGCUUUCAGGAAAUAAAGAAAUCCUCAUAAAAAGUAGAUUGUCUUUAUUAAAACACGGGCUGUGGUGGGACAAGUUAUUUUGUUGAACAGUUUACUCAAAGGGUUUUACUUCAGUGAACAAUGCAGACGAUUAUGCUGAGCAUGUGCAUGUGCAUGUAGAGAAGAACAGCAUCUGGUUAAAAGCAGUACCAGGGUCUUUUCUGCCUUGCAUUCUUAAAAUGAGUUUCUUGACUUGCAGCAGUUAUAGGUCCUUGGUUAGUCAGCUACUCUGAUCAUGGUAA